AGCAGUAGCCACGGGAACACGUAGGGUGCGAGCGUUAAUCGGAAUUACUGGGCGUAAAGCGUGCGCAGGCGGUUUUGUAAGACAGGCGUGAAAUCCCCGGGCUCAACCUGGGAAUGGCGCUUGUGACUGCAAAGCUAGAGUGCGGCAGAGGGGGAUGGAAUUCCGCGUGUAGCAGUGAAAUGCGUAGAUAUGCGGAGGAACACCGAUGGCGAAGGCAAUCCCCUGGGCCUGCACUGACGCUCAUGCACGAAAGCGUGGGGAGCAAACAGGAUUAGAUACCCCAGUAGUCCCUGUAUCUUAUAA
rnacentral:rRNA from 1 species